UACGAAGGGGGCAAGCGUUGUUCGGAAUGACUGGGCGUAAAGGGCGCGUAGGCGGUUCGUUGCGUCAGAUGUGAAAGCCCCGGGCUCAACCUGGGAACUGCAUUUGAUACGGGCGGGCUUGAAUCCAAGAGAGGGUGGUGGAAUUCCCAGUGUAGAGGUGAAAUUCGUAGAUAUUGGGAAGAACACCAGUGGCGGAAGGCGGCCACCUGGCUUGGUAUUGACGCUG
rnacentral:rRNA from 1 species